rnacentral:rRNA from 1 species
UACGAAGGGGGCUAGCGUUGCUCGGAAUCACUGGGCGUAAAGGGCGCGUAGGCGGCCAAGUAAGUUGGGGGUGAAAGCCCGUGGCUCAACCACGGAAUUGCCUUCGAUACUGCUUGGCUUGAGACCGGAAGAGGGUCGUGGAAUUCCCAGUGUAGAGGUGAAAUUCGUAGAUAUUGGGAAGAACACCGGUGGCGAAGGCGGCGACCUGGUCCGAUACUGACGCUGAGGCGCGAAAGCGUGGGGAGCAAACAGG